GGGCCGGUGGUCUAGUUGGCUAUGUUCUGGCCGGAUUUACCGGUCAGUUAGAAAACGUCGCCUUCACACGGCGAAGGUCGGGCGUUCAAAUCGCCCCCGGCCCACCA
rnacentral:tRNA from 1 species